GACGAACGCUGGCGGCGUGCCUAAUACAUGCAAGUAGGACGCAGGUGCGAACGGGUGAGUAACGCGUAGGUAACUACCCAGGAGAGGGGGGUAACUAUUGGAAACAAUAGCUAAUAGCGCAUACUAGUAAAUGGACCUGCGUUGUAUUAGCUAGGAGGUAGGGUAAUGGCCUACCUAGGCAACGAUACAUAGCCGGCCUGCGAGGGUGGUCGGCCACACUGGGACUGAGUAACGGCACAGACGCCCACGGGAGGCAGCCGUAGUGCAUCUUCGGGAAUGGGGGGAACCCUGACCGAGAUACGCCGCGUGCGUGAAGAACGUUUUCGGAUCGUAAAGCUCUGUUGUUGAGGAAUCGGUACUUAUCCAGAAAGGGACGGCUAACUACGUGCCAGCAGCCGCGGUAAUUC
rnacentral:rRNA from 1 species